GCGUAACGCGUGAGCAACAUGCCCGUAUCAGGGGAAUAAUCCAGGGAAACUUGGUCUAAUACCCCAUAGUAAAUAUUAAAGGCAUCUUUAAUAUUUUAAAGCUUUGGUGGAUACGGAUUGGCUCGCGUGACAUUAGCUAGAUGGUAAGGUAACGGCUUACCAUGGCUACGAUGUCUAGGGGUUCUGAGAGGAAGAUCCCCCACACUGGAACUGAGACACGGUCCAGACUCCUACGGGAGGCAGCAGUGAGGAAUAUUGGACAAUGGAUGGAAAUCUGAUCCAGCCAUGCCGCGUGCAGGAAGACGGCCCUAUGGGUUGUAAACUGCUUUUAUAUGGGAGCAAUAAGGCCUACGUGUAGGUUGAUGAGAGUACCAUAUGAACAAGCACCGGCUAACUCCGUGCCAGCAGCCGCGGUAAUACGGAGGGUGCAAGCGUUAUCCGGAUUUAUUGGGUUUAAAGGUGCGUAAGCGGUUUGAUAAGUCAGCGGUGAAAUAUUUCACUUAACUGGAAGGUGCCGUUAUACUGUCAGGCUUGAAUUAGUUCUG
rnacentral:rRNA from 1 species